AUUGAACGCUGGCGGCAUGCCUUACACAUGCAAGUCGAACGGCAACACGGGAGCAAUCCUGGUGGCGAGUGGCGAACGGGUGAGUAAUAUAUCGGAACGUGCCCAGUCGUGGGGGAUAACGUAGCGAAAGCUACGCUAAUACCGCAUACGAUCCAUGGAUGAAAGCGGGGAUCGCAAGACCUCGCGCGAUUGGAGCGGCCGAUAUCAGAUUAGGUAGUUGGUGAGGUAAAGGCCCACCAAGCCGACGAUCUGUAGCUGGUCUGAGAGGACGACCAGCAACACUGGGACUGAGACACGGCCCAGACUCCUACGGGAGGCAGCAGUGGGGAAUUUUGGACAAUGGGCGCAAGCCUGAUCCAACAAUGCCGCGUGCAGGAUGAAGGCCUUCGGGUUGUAAACUGCUUUUGUACGGAGCGAAAAGGCUUCCACUAAUACUGGGGGCUCAUGACGGUACCGUAAGAAUAAGCACCGGCUAACUACGUGCCAGCAGCCGCCGUAACAC
rnacentral:rRNA from 1 species